AAAUCCUGGAAGGAAAGCAGAGAGGACUGCAGAAAUAGAGGAGCAGACCUGGUGGUCAUCAAGAGCCAAGAACAACAGACAUUAGUCAAUUGGUUAUGUGGACGAAAUAACUAUGUCUGGAUUGGUCUGACUGACUCUGUUUCUGAGGGGACCUGGAAAUGGGUGGACGACACACCACUGACCACAAAGUAUUGGAACAGUAAACAGCCU